rnacentral:rRNA from 1 species
AUACGAACUGUGCAAACGUUAUGCGGAAUCACUGGGCUUAAAGGGUGCGUAGGCGGGUUUGAAGGUCUGAUGUGAAAGCCCACGGCUCAACCGUGGAAUUGCGUUGGAAACCACAAGCCUUGAGGGAGUCAGAGGUGAGCGGAACUAAUGGUGGAGCGGUGAAAUGCGUUGAUAUCAUUAGGAACACCGGUGGCGAAAGCGGCUCACUGGGACUCUUCUGACGCUGAGGCACGAAAGCUAGGGGAGCGAACGGGAUUAGAAACCCUAGUAGUCC